CCUUCGCCACCGGUGUUCCUCCUGAUAUCUGCGCAUUUCACCGCUACACCAGGAAUUCCGUUCUCCCCUGCAUACCUCUAGUCUGCCCGUAUCGAAAGCAAGCACCCAGUUAAGCCAGAUGAUUUCACUCCCGACGCGACAAACCGCCUACGAGCCCUUUACGCCCAAUAAUUCCGGACAACGCUCGCACCCUACGUAUUACCGCGGCUGCUGGCACGUAGUUGGCCGGUGCUUCUUCCCCACCUACCGUCACCACACCCAAAAAGAUGCAGCUUCGUCAAUGGUGAAAGAGGUUUACAACCCGAAGGCCGUCAUCCCUCACGCGGCGUUGCUGGAUCAGGCUUCCGCCCAUUGUCCAAUAUUCCCCACUGCUGCCUCCCGUAGGAGUCUGGGCCGUGUCUCAGUCCCAGUGUGGCCGGUCACCCUCUCAGGCCGGCUACCCGUCAAAGCCACGGUAGGCCAUUACCCCACCGUCAAGCUGAUAGGCCGCGAGCACAUCCCCCACCAAAAAAUCUUUCCACACAACCCCAUGCGAGACCAUGUGCACAUCCGGUAUUAGCACCCAUUUCUGAACGUUAUCCCAGAGUGAAGGGCAGAUUACUCACGUGUUACUCACCCGUUCGCCGCUCGAGUACCCACAAGUGGGCCUUUCCGCUCGACUUGCAUGUGUUAAGCACGCCGCCAGCGUUCGUCCUGAGCCAGGAUCAAACUCU
rnacentral:rRNA from 1 species